CAAUGGGGGGACCCUGAUGCAGCGACGCCGCGCUGGAGGAAGAAGGUCUUCGGAUUGUAAACUCCUGUUGUUGAGGAAGAUAAUGACGGUACUCAACAAGGAAGUGACGGCUAACUACGUGCCAGCAGCCGCGGUAAAACGUAGGGUGCAAGCGUUGUCCGGAAUUACUGGGUGUAAAGGGAGCGCAGGCGGGAAGACAAGUUGGAAGUGAAAACCAUGGGCUCAACCCAUGAAUUGCUUUCAAAACUGUUUUUCUUGAGUAGUGCAGAGGUAGAUGGAAUUCCCGGUGUAGCGGUGGAAUGCGUAGAUAUCGGGAGGAACACCAGUGGCGAAGGCGGUCUACUGGGCACCAACUGACGCUGAGGCUCGAAAGUGUGGGUAGCAAACAGGAUUAGAUACCCUGGUAGUCCAAGGGCGAAUUC
rnacentral:rRNA from 1 species